CCUGACGGUAGUCGUAUGCUCGUCUCCGAGACGUAAGCCAUGCAAGUCCAAGUACACGUCCUUGAACGACGGAAACUGCGAACGGCUCAUUAAAUCAGUUGCGAUCUACUCGGCGUUCCGCGCCGCCGGAUAACCGUAGUAAUUCUAGGGCUAAUACGUGCGAAGCGCCCGCAGCCGCGAGGCGACGGGCGUUCUCGCCGGAUGUAGGAACCGACCCGGGGACCGCCGGGGCAACCCGGCGCCCCCCGAGACGGGGCGAACCACGGUGAAAUGACGGAUCGUCGGCCCCGCGCCGGCGACUCGCCGAAUGAGUUUCUGACCUAUCAACUCGAGACGGCGGGGUAGAGGCCCGCCGCGGUAACGACGGGUAACGGGGAAUCAGGGUUCGAUUCCGGAGAGGGAGCCGAGAAACGGCUACCACUUCCAAGGAAGGCAGC
rnacentral:rRNA from 1 species